CUUUUAUUUUCCACUAUUCAAAUUGAUUAACAUAUCAACAAACGAUGCCAAUUCAAUAUAAUUGGUGUUGAGGCUUUCGUCUUGCACAAUUAGAUUUAGAAUAGUUUUUUUUAGGAGAAUAUCACAAUUAAAAACAAAUUGUUCCCUGUGCCUGCAACCAGUCAUCAUCUCCAACAGACCAUGAAUUUUCUGUGUGGAUUAAAAUACUUUAAUGUACCAAAAAUACAUUCUUAUAUAAAAAAAAGAUAAGCCAAACAUAAACUUCAAAAGGCACAUUUAUUUUUUUCUUCAAAUAAUUUACAUUUGUACAACAAAAAAGGUUUAACCUUAACCAUGCCUGCUCUUUUUUGAAGUGCCAUCUUCACAUUUAAAAACUGAACAUUCUUGCUUUUAAACAAAAACAAUAACAAUGAAAACAAACUUGAAAAAAAAUUGAAAGGGAAAUCCUUCAAACUUCAAGUACUCGUGUACAUUCAAUAACUUUGAGCAGCCUCUCCCCCCAAGAACACACCCACCUGUCCAUAACCCCGCCCCUUAAAGGAACACACACACACAACCCCACUGUGACUCCGCCCCUUAUUCCACAGCGAGGCAGAGCUAGUCUUCCCCUAACGACCGGUGAACACUCAGGGUUUCUUCAAAGUUCAGUUAAAAGUCACGGUGGACCUCCUCUCCCUGUGAAGGUCACAGGUAGGCACGUGCGUCUCUGCACCUCGAAAACAAAAUGGGUACCAAAGCCGUCACACACACACACACACACACACAAACGAGGCUUGCUUUAACACACAGGCGUCAACAUAUUUACGAACGUUAAAACUAAAUGAGAAAAAAAACGAAAAACAAGUUAGCUACGAAGAAACGCCCGGGUCGAUGCACAGGCGCUGGAGCUCACUGGGGGCGAGGCCCGCACACCUGGGCAGGUGUGUCGCCGCUCCGGGGUCCAACACGCCUGGAGGCCGCCGACGGAAACAGCCAGGAAACCGGGGGGCCCUAGGCUCGAGUCGCUAGGCAACGCCAGUGAUUGACAUGACCACGAGGACUGAAAACACUUUUCGGAGGAACGGAAAUAUAUAUAUAAUAAAAAAAAGAAAUAUUAUUAUUAUCUUCGGACUCAACUUGGCGUCGACUAACCGUCCGACACGGAAGGAAACUCAAAUAUGCACUCGGGAAAACGCCAGGGCAUCUCGCAACAGAGGCAGAAACAGAAAAACCACCUGGCUCCUAAAGAAUCACUCUAAAACAACAAACCUGGAAAUAAAAAUAACCCAAAAAUGAUGAAGGUCGAACCCCCCCCCUCCCCACACGUUUUAAUUCUUCAACCAAUCAGAAAAGACACGCGGGGAGUCGUUAACCUUUGACCCCCUUCUAAGCCAGUACCCCUGCCCCCCCCCUUCCUUAACCCCACCCCCAAACCCUAACCUGAGCUAUAACCCCACCCCUUCUCCUUAACCCCGCCCCAAAACCGUAACCUGAGCUGAAGCCAAACCCCCCCCGAGCCGGGCAGCGGUGGACGGAGGGGUGCCUUCGGGUCGGGCGUGGCCGGUGGUGGUGUGGCGUCCUCUACCACAUCGUCCUCCCUGGUCACCGUGACAACAGCGCUGCCUCGGACCCCAGGGCGGGAUACGCCGGGGCCGGGGCUGGGGGCGGCGAGGGCGUGGUCGGGCUCUCCUCCCCCGAGGAGGCGGGGUCCGAGGGCGGCAGCGACUGAUUGGCCCGCGCCCUCUGGCAGAUCUGGGCGUAGCUGAGCCUCUUCGGCUCCUGCACGGACAAACGGACGGACAGACGGACAUACGGAGGACGGACAGACGGAUGAGGAGGACAGAGUCACACUCGGGUGGGCUAUGCUGUUGGAACCGUAGUUCCUGUCCAGUGGAACCCCUUCUCCCCGUAUGUUCUGUGGCCCCCUCUCAUAAACAUCUUAAGGCUUCUCUCCAGGCGCCUGGCUAGCGCUCUGCUGGGCGUCCCUUAUGUCUGAACGCCCCGUUUCUGUGCCUUUGGUGCGCUACGUUUAAUCCGACGCUUGAAGCUCUGUGACCUUUGUCGGUGAAGGGACGCCGUGUAAACACACUUGAGCUCCUGACGCUUCGAGAUACUUCACAUCCUACAUCCUACACCCUCACCCCCUUCCUCCCUCCCUCUCUCCCUCCAUCAGACAACUUUAACUCUACAGCCGUCAUGGGCGUGCGACGUGUUUAGCCGGCAAAUACACACUCUAGUGACUCUGCAUCAACAUCUCAACGUUUCUAUCACAAGUCGUACAUGGCUGUGUGAGUGGGAGGGGGGGAGGGGGCGGGAAUGGGCAUACACUUGAGUCUAUGGGCGUAACGUAAUCAUUAUCCUGCUGUGUUUUAGCCAGUCAAUGAUGGGACGACUGUACGUGGUUCCUUCUCUGGACUAAACUGUUGCGUCCUGAACGGUGUUAAUCUAGAUAGCUCGAUGGGGAAGCAACUGGUUUAAAAGGGAUGAAUCACAGUUAUUAUAAUAUAGUACCAGUGACAGAAGUCUCACCAUGUUUGCUUCGUUGUCCUGGGGAGGAGUCGUCGAUUUAGACUGGGUGAGCAACGGCACGGCCUGUUGGGACGUCCUGACAGCCUCAACCUUCACCUCCCUGGGGAGAGGGACAGAGACGGAGAGACAGAGAGAGAGACAGAGAGACAGAGAGAAAGAGAGCGAGAGAGACAGACACAGGGAGAAGGAGACAGACACAGAGACGGAGAGACCGACAAAUGGAGAGACGGACAGAGAGACACAGACAGAGAGAUGGAGAGACAGACAGAGAGACAGAGACAGAGACAGACAGAAGGGAUGGAGAGCAGGAGAGAGAGAUUAUUAACCAAUGUGUGGCUCCUCACGUAUACGUGCUGCAUAGCAACCCGUCAGAGCUAUAUCCAGCACAGGUGAAGACUCUGAGCAUUUUAAUUGAGUCCGUCUGCACGUCUCCACGUCUGCACGUCUGUACGUCUGCGAUCUCCUGGUUGCCAACUGGUGCGUGCCUGCAGUCUGUCGUGCAAUCAAAGCGAGAUACAGCUGUCGAGCGUGUCUCGUGUGCCAGCGAUACCCGCAGUCGCCCUGGCAACAAGUGGGAACAUUUCUUUGUUUUGAUAACCUGUUUCCCCCGAUUCAAACAACUGCGCAGGAUUAAAGACAGCCGUGCUGCAGACAAGAUAUGCGUCCGACAGCCCCCAGAAAUAAAUGCUGUCGAAUCUGUAGAAACACACACUGUGUACCGGCACACCAUGAGAGACGUUCAGAGCCUCGUUUCAAAGCAUCAUUUAGUCCCUGACUUUGAUAGACAGCGUUGUAUGGCGAGAUCAUUGCGUGCGUUCAUCAAUACCACUCACCGUACCAUAAAAUAAGAACGACUCUGCGAUGCAAUAAGGAGAGGAGAGAAGGAGAGAUUUUAAAUAAAUAAUAAGUCAUUCAUCAAAAUAAGCCCAGACAGGGUGAACACAGCAGCAUGGUUAAAACACUCUAUCUUGAUUGGUCAAUAACGGAGAAGGAUUAUGCUUCCAUAAUGGGCACAACUCCACUGUUUACCCGCCAACACGCUACAAACCCAACCCAUGAGCAACAACGGUCCGAAAGAACCAAUCGACAAGACGUUUCCUUGACAACGCAAAAACAAUACGCUCAAAACAGAGAAUUUCAUCGGCAUAAACAGAUGAAACAACAACAAUGUGAUGCAUUGAAGUUACAAUAUCUGACCAUUGUGAGUUGCUGUGCUGUAGCGCGAUACAAACACUUUGCCGGUCCCGUCUGCCCCCAUCCUACCAUACGCUCUGAUAACAGGUCUCCGGGGAGUAGUUAAUUCCCAAUGUGUUAUACCUGAGCCCUGUCCCGGAGGUCCACUGGGAACACUGGGAACGCCUCCCUGUUCUACAACACAGUGCUUAAAAUAAUGCAGCACCAAAAAAAAAAAAAAAAUCGGGGCAGGCGUGACCGGAACACGAACAAACGCACCGGUCCCUCAUCGUCAGCCUCAUUCAUCCUUAUCUUUGAGCAGGAGGUGCCUCUCUC
ensembl:lncRNA